GUUAAGUAGGGUCUGGCCUGGAAUACUCUUCUAGAUGAAAAUAGCCCAACCAUGAGCCACCUUCUCAGCAGAUGAGAUGAAAUUAAAGCUCUUCACCUCCUCAAGGCCCAGAGACUAUCACAAAAGAGGUCAGAAAUCCUGAAGAUCACUUUCUGACAAACUCAGGAGCUCCAGGUUUAUCUUGGAACCUCAAGAGGAGAGAAAUUCACCCAACUCAGAGUUUUGCUCUUGGUGCCCAGGCUGGAGUGCAUUGGCACGACCUCUGGCUCACUAUGACCUCUGCCUCCCAGGUUCAAGCGAUUCUCCUGCCUCAGCCUCCUGAGUAGCUGGGAUUACAGGCAUGAGCCACCACGCCUGGCUAAUUUUGAAUUUUUAGUAGAAACAGGGUUUCUCCAUGUUGGUAAGGCUGGUCUCAAACUGCUGACCUCAGGUGAUCUGCCCACUUUGGCCUCCCAAAGUGCUGGGAUUACAG
rnacentral:lncRNA from 1 species